AGGUGUAGAGCAUUUGACUGCAUAAGAGGCUCACCUUACCAGGUUUUAUUUCUUAGAGAAGUUUUAGCUAAGGAGAUAUUUAAGCCAGAAACUAAAAGGCAAGGAAAAAAAGAGACAGAAAGGAGAGAUGCAAAAGCAUUUGGGCUGUGGAAAUGCCUAACUGCUGUGAAUGCUUAGUCAUUCAGUGUGGCCGGAGGUCAAGGUUGAGUGCAAGGCAGAGAGCAGGAAAUAAAACUCAUGAGAAAAGUCACAUGCUACUGAAAACUGGUUGAUUUGGGGAGAAGGGUUGCUGGAUGAAGAGAGCUCCUGGAUUGAGGUCAUGUCCAUGAAGAGAGAGGCAGAUGAGCAAACUGAUGUCAAGGUCAUACAACUACUGAAUGGCGGAAUCCAGAUUUCAUUCCCGGCAAACAGAGUCCAGAGCCCUAAAACUUCAACCAUUAUAUACACUGUGAAGAUAUUUCAUUAAAUACAGAUGGAAUUAAAUCAUCUGACAUUAGAGACAAAGGAAAUUCUGAGAUUAUUGAUUUCCAUCAUGAAACAGAUAUAGAAACUGAAGCUAAGACUUGGAAGUGUCUUGGUUCAGGUGAUUUAUAUAAUUGCAGAAACGUAUCUGCACAAGGCUCCUGACUCCUCAUUAGAAUUACUUUUGCAAAGUUUACUCCAUCUCUUCUGCAAAGUUUCCUCCUUCUUUGCACUUGCAUACCCCUUUCAGGGUUUUGUUU
ensembl:lncRNA